AUUGCUUCUCGGCUUUUUGGCUAAGAUCAAGUGUAGUAUCUGUUCUUAUCAGCUUAAUAUCUACUACAACCUCUGUCCAAGACUAAGAGCUAAAUCCUA
ensembl:snRNA U2 U2 spliceosomal RNA